AGAGAUCAAGUUAUAUAUAUUUAGGUAAAAAGGCAGUUAAGCAUUAUAUACACUUUUAUUAAUAUCAAGACUAUUUAUUUAAAGGUAAAAUUUAUAUAUAAAUAGAUAUUUCGGCAUAAAUUAACAAAGUUGAAUCUGCGAAAUCCUUGAGGGAAACUGGGAUUAGAUACCCCAUUAUUCUUGGUUAUAAAUAGAUGUAAAUCUACCAGAGUACUACGAAUUAAGUAAUAAAAUUUAAAACUCAAAGAGCUUGGCGGUGUUUUAGACCUCUCAGGGGAACCUGUCUCGUAAUCGACAAUCCGCGUUAAACCUAACCUUUUUUUGCAAAACAGUUUGUAUACCGUCGUCGUCAGGUAACUUUUUAGAAAAGAGAAGUUAGCAAUAAAAUAUAUAUUAAAUUUAAACGUCAGAUCAAGGUGCAGCCCAUAGAAAGGUGAGGAUGGGUUACAAUUAUAAAUUAUAAUAUGGAUAAAUUAGUGAAAUCCUAUUUUAAUGAAGGAGGACUUGAAAGUAAAAAAAACUAUACGAAUAACUUGAAUUUGGCUCUGAAACAUGC
rnacentral:rRNA from 1 species